AUUGAACGCUGGCGGCAGGCUUAACACAUGCAAGUCGAGCGAGCGGCGGACGGGUGAGUAAUGUCUGGGAAACUGCCUGAUGGAGGGGGAUAACUACUGGAAACGGUAGCUAAUCCCGCAUACCAUCAGAUGUGCCCAGAUGGGAUUAGCUCGUUGGGGGGGUAAUGUAUCACCAAGGCGACGAUCCCUAGCUGGUCUGAGAGGAUGACCAGCCACACGGGAACUGAGACACGGUCCAGACUCCUACGGGAGGCAGCAGUGGGGAAUAUUGCACAAUGGGCGCAAGCCUGAUGCAGCCAUGCCGCGUGUGUGAAGAAGGCCUUCGGGUUGUAAAGUACUUUCAGCGGGGAGGCGUUACCCGCAGAAGAAGCACCGGCUAACUCCGUGCCAGCAGCCGCGGUAAUAC
rnacentral:rRNA from 1 species